GACUGAGAACCUGCUCCUCUUGAAUUUCCAUUAUUGUAGUUCCCUUUCCUUCUUUGCUUCCAAUCUGUAGGAUAACCUAUCAGUUUAUAACAAUUCUCACUAGUGUGUCCAGUGAAAUGGCAAUAGUCACACUUCUUUCCUUUGUAGUUCUGAUUUCCAUAGCUGAUUUCUGCAUUUCUAUUCACCUGCAUUGCAAUUGGAUUAACCUUUUCACCCACACCAGUCAUACAGGCCAAAUGUUGGAUCUCAUCUUCUACUAUCAUUGCAUAUGCCUAAUUUAUAGUAGGUGUAACUCCUUUCAAUAGGAUUUGUCUUCUAGCUUGAUCAUAUGAAUCAUUCAAGCCACUCAAAAACUGAAUUAGUCUAAGCUCGUAUAGGUGAUCUGUAUAGUCCUUCGACUUUGGGCAGAUACAAGUUGGAGCUGGUACCACAGCAUCAUAUUCACUCCAUAGAUUCUUCAGCUUAGUAAAAUAAUUCGACACUGAAUCAGUUCCUUGUAUGAGUGAAUUGAUUUCUCUAUGUAGCUGAUAAAGUCUCAUGCGAUUCACCUUAUCAAAUCUCUCCUUCAGGUCCUUCCAUACGUCAUAUGCACUUGUUGCAUAUACAAUUCCACUCAACAAUUCCUCAUUAACAGAGCUCAUCAGCCAUGACAAGACAAUUGCAUUACAAGUUUCCCAUUGCUCAUGCAAUUCAUCCCUGGUGAAAUUCAUCCCUGUACAAUUCUCUACUACAGGCUCUAGUCACAAAUCCAAAUUUCCUUUUCCCUAACAACGCGAUUCUCAUUGAUCGACUCCAAACUCCAUAGUUUUCUGAUCCAAUUAGCUUGACAGGAAUCAAUGCAGCACCAGAUGCAUCAUUUUGAAAGACAUAUUACAAAACAUUACUUUUAAGUUUUUACAAAAUAUUAAAGCAUAAUAUUGAAUUCUCUCCUUAUUUAAGAAAAAACAUAAGUAUGUAUUAAUGUCGCACGAAAAUUUCUGCUAGAAAAAUUUAUCUCUUCGGGUUCCCCAUAAUCAACAUUUAUUAUAUUUAUUAAUGUUAUUAGUCCCUCCGUUUCACAAAGAAUGACCUCAUUUCCUUUUUAGUCAGUUUCAAAAAAAUGACCUCUUUCCUUUUUUGGUAACAUUUUACUUUUUGCUUUCCACGUGGCAUGUUUAAGACCACAAGAUUAAGGGCAAUUUUGUACAUUUGACAUAACUUUAAUUUAGGACCACAAGAUUCAAAAGUCUUCUUUAAUUUCUUAAACUUCGUGCCAAGUCAAACCAAACCAAUCUUUUUGAAACGGAGGGAGUAGUAUUCAUUAGUUUUGCACGUAUUUUUUUUCUCCAGAAAAUUCAUUUCAAUAAUCCCCUUUCCUUCCCAAUAAUUAAUAGUAAUUAUUAAUAGGUUUUAAAUGUUGCACCUCUUCAAAUUCUAGCACUCAAUAAAAUGAUAGAAGUUUAGAAACAAAGCUCCAUCAACUUCUCCACUAUGCUAGGUGAAAAACUCAUAAUGCUACAUUUCGUCAGGUAAUAUAAAUUACUAUUAUUUUUAUUGGAUGAAUAAUAGAUAAUUGUAUUGACAAAUUCUUUUAUGUGAAUCAAAGUAAUGUGAUUUACUUAUUCGUGGUUAUAGUAAAAAAUAAAUCACACUAUCAGAAAAGUGUGAAUUACAUGUGAAUUUUCCUGGAGAUUAGUAUGAAAAUCUGUAGGAAACUUAUUUUCCUGCAAAUUUUCAUACUAAUUCCCAGGAAAAUCCUCAUGUAAUUCGCACUUUUCUUGUAGUACCAGUGAAGUGCCAUGAAAACUUGACAAGACAAUUACUUUAAAGUAAGUUUCUCCUUAGUUCAUACUAUAUUUGUAUAUUAUAUCAUUUUCUUAUAAUAACUAUAUAUCUUUUUUUUAAUUUGCUUAGUAUCAUUUUUGUUGUACACGAGUUUGUUUCAUUAAUUGUAGAAAGUGAAAAAAAAAAUGUGUCAACUGGCUACAACAACUAUUCAAAGUAUAAAGGAGAUAUUAAAUCAAAGGUCAUCACUACAUGAAUUAGUUCUGACUACAUUUUUCUUUUCCUCAUUUUUUUUUUGCCAUUCUCCUAAUUUUUUAAAUCUGUUUGAGUUCUGACUACAUUUUUCUUUUCCUCAUUUUUUUUUGCCAUUCUCCUAAUUUUUUAAAUCUGUUUUAAUUAUUAAAACAUAAAAAAAAUAAUCAAAAGUCAAUACUUAAAAUAUUUCUCUUCAAUAUACGUACGUUACUUAUUUUUUUUCAAUUAAUCAUUGUUAACUAUCACUUAUUGUAUUAAAGUCUCUUUAAUUUGUUAGUACUUAUCAUUUUAAUUUAAAAGUCUAAAUUUAACUAAAUAAUUUGUCAAUUAUUUAGGGAAAGACAAUUACUAUAGAAGACAAGGAAAGAUGAAAGAGUUUAGAUUUCAAAUAGGUGAUGAAUUUUUUUUUACAAAUUUUCUUUUUGAUUAUUUAAAAAUAGAGUGCAAUCUUUGACUAGCAACAAGAACUAGGGAACAAGAAAAUAAUAAAAUAAAAUAAAUAAAAAUAGGAAGGAUUGAAGGAACUAAUGAUCCGGAAAAACAAAAAAAUGAAGUAGGAUAAGAGGGUAAGAAAACGAGAUAAGAAGAAAAUGAUAAAAAAAAAUCGAGAGAAUAACUUUUUUUCCAAACUAGAGCUUAUUAUAAUUAAGGUAUGAACAAUUGAAGGGAUAUUAGAUACUGGGAAUAGGAAAAAAUGAAAAACAAAAAAAUUAAGAAACUAUAUUAAAUAUACAUUUCAUUUCUACUUAUUUCUACCUUUACUUUUCAUUUCAUGCUUACUUUAUUUUAUUAGAAAGAAAAAAAUUAAUAUAUAUUAUUGAUUUUGUAAGGAUAUGCAUGAAAAAAAAUGUUAUUACCUCGAUUAUAUUUAAAUGAAUUUAUUUUUAAAUUUUUAAAUAAUUUUAUGACCGCGCGAAGUGCGGAAAUGUUGACUAGUAAUUUAAUAAAGUAAAUGAAAGAGGUGACAAAGUAUUUAAUCUAUAAAAUAUUAUUGGGUCUUGCUUUUGAAAACAAAUGAACUUGAGUCAAUACAUACACUUUAGAGAAAAAAUCUUUUUUGUAAAAUUAAUUUAAACUUUGUUUAUACUCUAAACAAUCUGCAUUUUGAAGUUCAAAAAACAUAGAGGUUGCAUUCUUGCCCAAAAAAUAUGCAUUUUUACACUACAAAUCUGCACCUUUUAAACUUUUUAAAGCAAUACUUUUACACUCAAAAAACUAAUCUGCACUUCUGAAGUAGUUAUAGCUGAAAGCAAUACGGUUUCGAAGCUGACAUUUUUUGGGCAUAACAUAUCAAAAGGGACCUUCCCCAAAAAUACAGAUCAAAAUGUACGCUUCGUCCAAAAAUUGGUGGACUCUCUUCCCACCGUUAACGUCCGUUUCUUCGAAUGUAAAAUUAAUAUAUAUAUAUAUAUUCAUAUAUUCAAUGAUUUCGCCCAAAGAUGGGGAACUACAUUUUUUUUAUUAACUUUUUAUAUAAUUUCACGUGAAUAGAAUCUUCAUUUGCUGAUUAUUAUUUUUUCAGAUCCUUAGCUUGAACGUAAGUUUUGUCAUGUCUAGUUUGAUACAAGGAAUCCUGAGUUUCUUAAAGAUUAAUAGUACAAAAAGAUAACUAUUGGGUACUUUUUUCAUGAAAAUGUAUUUAUUUACUUACGAUCAAUAGUAAAAAAACUAUUGAGGCCGACAAGGACAAUGAUUUCUUUUAUGAUCGAAUUUUCCUAAACAAACUAUAUCUUUGUGUCAUGCAGCCUGGAGCACUGCUUAUUUUCAUUUUUGUGAUACCUAGUACCGUUAACUCCAAAAAUUCUUAGAUAUUGAGUAUUUGUAAUUAAAUUGAAUGGAGAAGGUAUAUAGACCAAUUAUAUGUCAUCGCCCAGUGAAAAAAGUGCUAUAUCUUUAUAAAUUUGCUUGUAAUCCUUUGAACUAUAAUACUUGCUGAUAACGUAGGUCUUUAGCUCAAUAAACACAUAUCACAAAAUUUUAUGGCACGUGGACAUAUAAAUAGAGAUGACAAGAUCGUUGAAUUUUUUAGAAGUCAUGUCAUCUUUUGUCUAAUAUCAUAAGGUUUAAAGACGAUCCGUUAUUGUCUAUGGGUAUAAUUGGAGAACAUUUAAGAACAGCUUCAACUGCAUUUUGACAAACCUCCCACAUAUUGGAUUAACACAAGCCUCGUAGAGCAAUGACCUAAAUAUUCCUGCAACCAUAACAUUGCAAAGAACAAAAUCAGUAAACACAUUUAAGGAGUCGUUUGGUGUGAGCUAGGUAGUAUAAAAAUCUCAGUAAUAAAAUGGAUCCUGCAUUUAGUUGGAGAUAUUAGGCAAUCCUGAGAUUAUUUAUCCCACUACUUGUAUCUUAGUGACGGAAUAAGUUAUCACUCAUACAUGGUGAAAUAAUUUAUUACAGAAUAACUUAUCACGAGAUAAUUAAUCCCAAAAUAAUUUAGCAUGUUGUAUGCAUGAAAAGACUUGAAUACAAAAUUGGGUUGGAGAUUUUUACUUCCAUUAAAACUUUUACUCAGUCGUGUUAUACUUACUCAAAACUUUUAGUAAAAUUAAAAAAAUUAUUUUUUUUAUAAAUAAAAAAUAUAGCUAAUAGCAAGUCACCAACUUUUAAUUCUUUAAAUCAUCCCAUUCAUAUAGCUUCUUUUUAUUUCUAGAUUUUUAGUAGAAUAUUUAAAUCAUCAUAUUAAUAUUAUCUAUGAGUUAUAUUGACUAUUUUUUUUAAUAUUUAAUUAAUUAAAAACACAAACUUUAACUAAAAUGGGGAGUAAAUUAAUUAUUUAUGGUUAUUACGUGAAACUAGCUUUAGUACUUUACUAGAGGCGCAGUGGUUUUUGUCUAAAUUAGAAUGCAGCAGUAUGUUUCCAUCUGGUUUUCCAUAUUCCUGGAAUAGGGGACCUGUACCCACCAUCAAGUCCGGAUUUUUCCAUGUAAAAUUAAGGGUAUGCAUCGGGUGUAUAUAAUAGCAAAUUAUUAAUUCAAAUUAAAUGCUAUAAAUAGAUUUUGAUUUAAUUGUAUCCUAUAGCAAACUAUUGCUAUUUUCGCCACUCUCCCUGGUGGAAUCUCGCUCGCCACUCUCGUUUGGUGGCAGUUUCGCUCGCCUCUCUCGCUUUUAUACACAAACACAAAUGUAUAAAAUGUGUUUGUGUUUGUAUAAAGCGAGAUGACAUUAUAUAUAUACAUAUUUUUUCGUUCCCCUUUCUCCCCUCUCCCAGAUCUCGCUCGCCACCCUCGCCUCUCUCACUUAUACAAACAGAAACGAAAUGUAUAAAUUGCGAUUCUGUUUGUAUAAAGCGGGAGAAAAUUGUAUAUACACAUGCAAAUACGUAUAUCUUCAUCCUAUACACUUAGAAUUAUACAAUACAAAUAUUUUCAUACCCAGUUUUCUUUUGCCUUUCUCUCUUUCUCGUUUUAUACAUACACAGAUUAUACAAUUGAUCUUUUGUUAUACAACUGCUUUCUUUUUGUAUAUGUAUAGCGAAUUAUACAACUGUCUUCUUUGUAUAUGUAUAGUGAAUUAUACAACUGUUUUUUGUAUAUGUAUAGCGAAUUAUACAUAUAUAUGUUUGCUAUGGAGCUCAAUUAUGCAAACUUUGCUAUAGCAUACAAAUAUGAAUUUUGCGUUUGCUAUAUGUGAAAGUUGCUCUUAUUUUUAUUAGUUCGAUUUAUUAAUUAACUUUUAAUUAUGCUAAAUCAAUAAUUAAAUUAAUAGGAUAUCUCUUAUUGAUUUUCGAUUUAUUAGUUAUGGAUGCUUAAUGAUUUGAUUUCUAAUUUAACCAAUAAAAAAAGAUACUCAUAAAAUAAAUAUAUAAAUUCUCUAAUAAUUUAAUAUGACAUGACAAUAUAAUAUAACUUUACGCAAUACUUAUAAAAUAGAGUUGUGGCUGUCAAUGCUAACAUAAACAUGAUUCUAAUGAAGUCCAACCCUUAAAAGUAGCAUAUAGGGGAGGAAUAUGAAAAGCAAAUAGUAUACAAGUGAAGUAUCAGAGAGAGGUAGAAUCACCACAUAUCAUGGAGGAGGUAGGCCCCAAAAGUUUGAGAUGGCUCCUGGUUUUCGGGAACAAAACUGGUUUGUUUUCACGACUGUGGGCGGGCUCAAUCUGUGGAUUACUGGCGUCGUUACUCACUCCCAUAAGCUAGGAGUAAUUCUUACGAGUCAUUUGGUAGAGUGUAUUAGUAAAAAUAAUGUAUGCAUUAAUUUUGUAUAUUAGUAGUUCCUUGUUUGGUCCUCCAUGUUGAGUUAAUUCUACUGUUGAGUUAAUUAUUCUAACUUUAUUAAUUAAUGUCAUGCAAAGAGACAAAUGCAAAAUACGUUUCAAAGGUGAAGAUACAUCCGUUCCAAACAAAAGUGAUGUAAUGGCCUUUAAUGCCAUUAGCCUUGACAAUAUGUUUCUAAAAUUAAACUCUCUUACUUGCAACUCCUUUUCUUGCAAAUCAUAUAUAAGAAGAGGCUUUGGUGAACAUAACACAACAUUACCAACAUAAACAAAAAGAAGAGAAAAACUUCUUCUUCCUUUCUCCUUAUUCUUAGAAUAUUGUUGGGCAAUUGGUUUUGAGCAACCUCCAAACUCUCAACCACGAGUGCAUGUGUCUGAGAGUAACUGUGGAACCUUGGGGAGCGAUCGGCUACAACGAUUUGCACCGGAGUUGAGCCGAAAUCACUUUCAAGGCAGUGGCUUGCCACAACACAGUGUUUGUGAUAAGUUAUUUACUACUUUAUAAUUCCAAUCAAAUAUCAAUAUUAUAGUAUUUUUCCCAACAAUUUGAAAGCGAUUUACUAACAUACAAUAUUGAUAAAUGGCUAUUUCUUUGAACAAAUUUUUUUUUGAUUUGUCAAAAUUUGAGCCUUUGGAUGGAAGUAAUUUUAAACGAUGAUCACAAAUUUUUUUAAUUUUCUUUGAACAAUUAGAAGUUGAUUAUGUUUUAUUUAAAGAACCUUCUAUGAAUGGUUCUAACACCACUAUUGAUUCUAGCAAUGUUAUGGUUGUUGAUGAUGUUGUUAAAAAGAAGUUUGAAAAGGAUAACAAAAUUGUGAGAGGACAUUUGUUAAAUCAUAUGAAAAAUUCUUUAUUUGAUUUAUUUUUAACCUAUAAAUCUACCAAAGAAAUAUGGGAUAGUUUGAAAAAGAAAUAUGGUACUGAUGAUGCAGGAAAGAAAAAAUAUAUUGUCGGUCAGUGGAUUAAAUUCCAAAUGGUUGAUAAUAAGUCAAUAAUGAAACAAGUUCACUAAUAUGAGAACUUGACUGCUGAUGUUUUCAACGAGGACAUGAAGAUGUGUGAGAUAUUUCUGCUUGAAAAAUUCCCACCAUCUUGGAGUGAUUAUAGAAAUCAAUUAAAACAUAAGAAAAAGAAUUUAACUCUCCAAGAACUUAUUCGUCACAUGAGGACUGAAGAGGCGAACCGUCUCAAAGAUAAGAUGGAAGAAUUUUUCUCUUAAUUCUUCUAAAGCUAAUCUUGUUGAAUCUUCUGGUACUAUUGUGAAAGACAGGUUUAAAGGCAGACAGAAGAAAGUCUCGAAAAAGGAACAUAUGAAGAAGAAAAAUCAAUUCAACAAGCCGGAGAGCCAAAUUCAAAAAUUUAAGAGUCCUUGUUUUGCUUGUGGAAAAGUUAGUCACAGGGUUGCCAAGUGCUAUCAAAGAAAGAGGCAGGACUCAAAGUAGGAAGGACAAAAUGAUGUCCAACCUCGUCUUGCUGAGGGUAAUGAAGUGAUUGUUGUUGUAGUCGUUGAGGCAAAUCUGGUGGCUAACAAAACUGACUGCUUGCUGAGGGUAAUGAAGUGAUUGUUGUUGUAGUCGUUGACGCAAAUCUAGUGGCUAACAAAAUUGACUGGGUGCUAGACACAAGCGCUUCAAGGCAUUUUUGGCCAAUAAGAAUUUAUUUUAUGACUUUGAGGAGUCCAUUGAUGGCGAGUGUGUAUAUAUGGGUAACUCUACUACUGAUGUAGUAAUGGGUAAUGAAAAAGAUUUACUUAAAUUAACUUCCCUUGAACAAUGUUUUGUAUGUUCCCUCCCUCCGUAGAAACUUAGUUUCCGGAGCACCUCUCAACAAAGUAGGCCUUAAACUUGUUUUGAAGCUGAUAAAAUGAUUAUUUCUCGUGGAGGAGACUCCGUUGGGAAGGGAUAUCUUAGUGGGGGAUUAUUUGUAUUGAACAUUGUUCAAGAGAUUGUCAAUAACGCAAGUAUUUCAAAUUCUGCUUAUAUUAUCGAGUUUAUUAAUUUAUGGCAUGGUAGACUAGGUCAUGUUAAUAUUGCAUCUAUUAAAAGACUUAGAAAAAUGGAAUUAAUUCCUAUGAUAAAAACUGAUGAGUUUUCUAAAUGUCUUGUGUGUAGAAGCAAAGCAUGCCAAGAAACCUUUCAAAUUUGUUAUUAGUAGAAAGACCGAAUUACUUGAACUAAUACAUUCAGAUUUAGCAAAUUUCAAGAACAUUGCUAGCAAAGGUGGAAAAAAGUAUUACGUUACUUUUGUCGAUGACUUUUCUAGAUACACUAAGGUAUAUCUUCUUAAUUCUAAAGAUGAGGCUGAAAGCAUGUUUUUGAAAUUCAAAGCAGAAGUGGAAAAUCAAUUAGACAGGAAAAUCAAGAGAUUUAGAUCGGAUAGGGGCAGUGAAUAUUGUACUAAAACUCUAAAGGAUUUUUGUGAGAAAAUGGUAUUAUACAUGAGGUUAGUGCUCCCUAUACUCCCCAACAAAAUGGUGUAGCCGAACGAAAAAAUAGAACCCUUAAAGAAAUGAUGAAUUUUAUGCUUCUAAGCUCUGGUCUAUCUGAAAAUAUGUGGGGAGAAACAGUCUUGCUUGCGUGCUAUAUUCUUAAUAGAGUCCCUCAUAAGAAGUUAGACAAGACCUCAUAUGAGUUGUGGAAAGGAUUUGCCCCUAACUUGAAAUUUUUGAAAGUGUGGGGGUGUUUGACUAAGGUUGGUCUACCUGAUUUUAAACGAGUAAAUGUUGGUUCUAAGACUUUUGAUAUUGUCUUUAUUGGUUAUGCUCAAAAUAGUGCUGCAUAUAGAUUUAUGUCUCUCAAUGAUCACACUAUUUGUGAAUCUAGCGAUGCAAAAAAUUUUGAGCAUAUUUUUUCUUUGAAAAAUAAUAUGUUGAGUGAUGUGCAAAAUAAUGCUUCUACAUCUAUGUCUGUUAAUUCUCAUGUUGUGCCUUCUUCUAAUGUUAUUUCUAAUGAGCAUGAAAAUGAACUUAGAAGGAGUAAAAGACGUAGAAUUGAGACAAGUUUUGAACCUGAUUUUAUCACUUCUUUCUUAACUGAAAAUUUGGAUAUUAAUAUUUUAAAUGAUGAAUCAGUGUCUAUCUAUUUAAUAGAAGAAGACCCUAAGACUUAUGAUGAAGCUAUGAGAUCAAUAGAUGUUAUAUUUUGGAAAGAGGUAUUAAAAGUGAAUUAGACUCUAUAGUUUCUAAUCACACUUGGAACUUGUAUGAUUUACCUAAAGGUUGUAAACUCAUAAGUAGCAAGUGGAUAUUUAAGAAGAAAUUGAGACAUGAUGGUACAAUUAAUAAAUAUAAGGCUAGAUUUGUUAUUAGGGGUUUUAACCAAAAGAAAGGAGCUCAAUUCAAUCAAAUCAUGAAAUUAGGCUGGGCUGGCCCAAUAGUCCAAGCCCAUGCCUGUGGCUAUAUUUCAAUGGAAAAUUUUUCAAAAUGUCAAAAUUUUGAUAUUUAAUAGGAUCUCUUAGCCAUACUCUUCUUUUAAUAUUUAUUUAAAAUGUCAAUAUUUUAGUUUGUUAUAUAUCUUAUGUAUGUAUUUUCUUAUUUGUAUGAUUUGCAAGAAACACAAUUAUUUAAUAACAGAAAGGAGAAAAUCAGGGGAGAUAAUAUUUAAAAAAAGGAACAUAUCACUUAAAAUUCUCACCAGUUACAAUUUCAAAGAAAUCAACUUUUUUUUUAUUAUGUUUUCAUUGUAAUUGUAUACCAAUAUUUUUUACAUUUAAUGUGUUGACUUUACCUUUCAAAUUAAAUUUGAUAUUUUACUUUCAUAGUGAAAACUACAAAUCGUAUCCCAGUGAUCAAAAUUGUAUUACAUGAUUGCCAAAUAUAUUUUUCUUUUAUUUGUAUUAUAAAAAUAUCACUGAUUGUAUCCCAAUAUAAUUAAUCAUUACAUAUGAAUAUGAUUUAUGAAAGGAUACAAGAUUCUGAAAAAAAAAAUUAGCAUACAUGGUGGAAAUAAUACAAUCUAUUGAGGAAUGAUACAAUAUUCUAAAAAAAAUUAGAAGUUGGCUAUGAAAGAAACAGAGAUACAAGAUUCUGGAAAAAAAUUUAGCAUACAUAGUGGAAAUAAUACAAUCUGUUGAGGAAUGAUACAAUAUUCUAAAAAAAAAUACAAACUGGCUGUGAAAAAAAUAGAAUACAUAUAUGCUUAAGAAAUAUGAAUCAAUUUGACAUACGUACUUGAAUGACCACAAACUUAAAAGAAAUACAAUGUUCUUAAUAAAAUUACAAAUGCUGAGAAAAACAAAAAUAAUUAACAAACAAAAAUUAAUAUGAAUACAAUCCUGGUAUGAAUACAAUUCAACUUUCUUCUCUCAAUCUCUCUUUCUUCUUCUUCUUCGUCUGCUAUGUUGUUUUUUUUCUGAUUUUUUUUUUUUAUCAAACUCAAAUCCAAAUCCGUAUUCACUUGUGCAUAUAUUAGUAACCCUAUAAACAAAAUUUGAAAUUAUUAAUUAUGAAUGUAUAAAAAAUCAAACAAUAUAUGAUGUAUGAAUGCUAAUGUAUGUAGAUUACUAUAAUCUAUUAAAUCUCAAAUAUGAAAACAAAAUCACAAAAAUAAUAAUUGAACAAUAGAGUUUAAAAGACGAAAAAUUCGAAAUACAUAGAAGAGGGAAAUCUCAUAAAAUACUUGGUGAAUAUGAGAACCUCACAAAAAAAUCAAACAAUAUUAUUCAAAGACGAAAAAUCCGAAAUACAAAAUACUUGAUAAUUGUGAAAACAAAAUCACAAGACAUCUCACAAAAUACUUGUUGACUUCGAAUUUACCUUUAUCCAUGGUUGAAAAAUCUUUUGAAUUAAUUGUGAGAUUUCUUGAACAAAGUGUAGGAAAUUGGAAGAGUUGAUUUUCUUGAAUAAGGAAAGGCGAUAACAAUGGUGAAAAGGAAAGAGAGAGAAAUGAGCAAUUUGGGGUAAAACCUAGAAAGAGAGGUAAGUGGGUAAUGGGGGUAUAAUUAUUUUUAUUUUACGGAUGAGGGAGUAAAAAAGGGUCUAACUUGAGCAUGAUUUGAGAAAUAAAAGGAAAAGAAAUUAAUUAUAUUAGGAUACAAUUAAUCUUCUAAAAUAUUGACAUAUUGACAUUUUUAAUAAUUAUUUUUAAGUGUAGAUAUUUUUUAUAAUUAUAUUAGGGAUUAUGACUAGUUUGCUAAUUUUUCCUAUUUUGAUUAUUCUUUAGAUAUGACUUCUAUAAAUAGCUAUUUGUGAACUUCACCUCAUCAUAUAUGGCAAAUUAGGCACUUUCAGGACAACAAGGGUUACAACUUUCAAUUGACAAUUGGCACAAACAGCCGCAGACGUAUAAAAGUUAUAUUUUAUAAAUUUAUAAGAGAGAAAAAGUUGAUUUAUAUUUUCAAAUAAUUAUCCUACAUUAGCAAAAAUUGCUUUCAAAGCAAUGACUUGCCACCACACAAUGUUUUAUUUUAUAAGUUAUUUUUGUUCUCAUUUUGUUAUUAAUUAUCAAACUAGUUUUGAAUAUGUAGCAAGAGUUAAUGGGAAAUGGAGGGAAGAUGAAAAGAGAGGAACUUGAAAAGUUGGGAACUUGAAGAAUUGGAAACUUGAAAAGUCCUUUUAUGCUUUAGUGAAAAGGCAUUUCUCCCUCAUCGGUGGUGGAAAGAAAAAUAAAAGAGUUUAAAUAUAGAAACACUCCUAUUAAUUGUUAAAAGGGUUGGAAAGAGGGACCCCUUCGCACCGUCGUCGUCGUCGCUCGCUCGCUCGGCUUCGGCGACAAAGUUUGUUUAAAUUAUUUAUUUAAUUAAUUAAAUUAAAUUAAAUGGCCAAAACGUCAAAAUGUUUCAAUUAAUUAGUUAAUUAACCAAAAUGUUUCGGCUAUUCAGUUAAUUGACCGACCUGACUCGGAUCCGCGCGCGACCCAUUUUAUUUAAAUUCUUUUCCGUUUUAUUUAAAUUUCCCGCCGUUGGAAGUGACUGUUCUAAAAGGUUGCAACUUUCAUGAACAGUCAUGACCGUUUGAAAGGUUGCAAACUUUCGUGAAUGGUCGUGUGGAUUCUGAAAGGGUUGAUUCUUCAGAUUUAUUAAUUACGAUUUUUUCUGAUUUCUUCUUCUUCUUCUGCACAAAGUUUCUUCAUAUACUUUACUGUUAUUGAGUGGUUCGAUGAUACCAGAGUUUUGGGUAUCAAUACACUGGUGAUUGAGAUCAUUCUAUCCUGGGAGGACAUAUUCCAAAUCAAACCUCAAAUACUAGAGGGGAAUAAUUUCUUUAAGGGGGCACUGUGCAGUCAGUGGGCUUGAUCUUUUCCGUUCUGUCUUUUUCCAGAUUCUAGUAUGUUUUUCAGAUUUUAGUUGUUCUAAAUUAAUUUCUGUUCUUCUAUUUUUACUAGUUCAUUAAAACUUUGAUUACUUCGUGUUUCUGCAAAGUUUAUUGGAAUCAGAAAUUCUGUUUUAAACACAGAUUGACAACAAUUAUAACAAAUUGUUCGAUUUCAGCAGUCCCAUAAUGGAUCAAAAAGAUUUAUAUUGAAUGUCCUGCUCCUGCCUGAACUUUCCCAUCAACCAAACCAUACUCCAUUAAUGCAUUCUUUUAGUUUUGUAUAGGUCUUCGAUCAAUAUUGAUCUCGGAGGUUUUGGUACUUCAACUCGUCCAAUGUACUUUAUUUUUCUUUAAAUAAACACAAUGGGGGUCGAUGCCGAAUCUGUUAUGAAUAUGAGAAUCAAAAGUUACGCAUUGUUAUCAAUGUAACAGUAAAGCUAGUUACAAAAUGUUAGUUACAAAAGUUUGUUAUAAUGUUAGUUAAAGGUAACUCUAGUUAAUUUAGACUAACUAGCUUGUACAGUUAAGAUACACUAUAAAUAGAGUAGUGUAGGCAUUAUUUGUAUUGUAUCAGAUUAUCAUUCAAUACAGUGAAAAGUUCUUCUUCUUUGAUUGAAUCAUCUGCUCUAUAAUUCUUCAUGGUAUCAGAGCCAUGGAUGCUCUCCUGAUGUAUUCCGCAAAUUAGGUUGUUAAACUCUUCUGCUUGCAGUGCACACGAAAGGCUCUCCAACAGAGUCUGCAUUAUCUUAGAAGCAGUCCUGUUUUUACUUCGUUUGUUGCUCCUGAUUCAGUGAAGAUCUUCAUCAAUGACGAUAGGUGAAGGCUCCAAUCCUGACACUCUUACUCCUUCAGCUGGUGGUAGAGAAGCCAUAGUUGAUUCACAUCAUCCUUUGUUUCUUCAAGCGUGUGACACUCCAGGUAGUUCACUGGUCUCUACUCAAUUAAUUGGAUCUGAAAACUAUUCUUUGUGGAGCAGGUCUAUGAAGAUAGGUCUGCUAGGCAAAUGUAAAAUAGGAUUUGUGGAUGGAUCUAGUUCUAAAGAGAAGUUUCAAGCUUCCUUCCAUAAUAUGUGGGAGAAAUGUAAUGCAAUUGUCCUUUCAUGGAUCAUGAUUUCUGUUAGUCGAGAACUUCUCAGUGGGAUAGUUUAUGCUAAUAGUGCUCAACAAGUUUGGAAUGACCUGAAGGAAAGGUUUGAUAAGGUUGAUGGAUCACGUAUAUUCUAUCUACAUAAGGAGAUUGCUACACUCACUCAAGGAAUAUUGUUUGUUUCCAUCUAUUUCUCCAGGUUUAAAGAGCUUUGGAUGGAGUUUGAUUCUCUCAUGCCCUGUCCUGGGUGUGACUGUUUAGUUUCAAAGACUUAUGCAAUUCAUUUUGAGUAUCAAAGGCUUAUGCAGUUUCUCAUAGGUCUCAAUGAGUCUUACAACCAAUGUAGAAGCCAAAUUAUGAUGAUGGAUCAUGUUCCCAGUGUGAACAAAGCCUAUUCACUAGUGAUUGUAGAAGAGAGUCAGAGGAUCCUUGGUAAGGCAAAUACUGUUGUUGAGAUGCCUUCUAACCAUGGAUACAAGAGGCUCUAGCCUUCUUUAGUGGCAGUAAUCAUACCUACUCAGGCUCCAGAGGAUCGGGAUCUGGUGGUCCUGGUACUACUGGAUCUACUUCCAGACCUAAGAAGCCAUUUAACAGUUAUUGUUUUGUGAUUACUGUAAUUGGAAAGGUCACACAAGGGAUCACUGCUACAAACUUCAUGGUUAUCCAUCUGACUGGAAAGGUAAGAAGAAAAUCAGUCCUGGUUCAACUAGCACAACUAGUUUUGCUGCUGCUAGUUCUGGUCCUAGUAGCCUCUCAAGCAGAUCUCCAUCAGGUGUUAGCAAUACUGGUGUCUCUCAUGCAUUUAUGACUAACCUGCAGCAUCAACAGUUUCAACCUCAUGCAACUUCACAGCCACAACAUCCUCAUUUCUCCCACCAGCAGUACAUGCGGAUCCUGCAAUUGCUAGAUCAGGGAAAUGGGAAGACUACCGCUGAUGCUCUUGUGUCUACCUCAGGUACAUCAGGUUUGUUUCCUACUUCCAAGUGGAUAUUUGAUUCAGGAGCUUCCAAACAUAUGGUUCAUAGUCUGCGUAUGCUCAAUCACUAUACUACCUUGUCUGAGUCUCACGAAGGAAAAAUGUAUCUUCCUACUGGCAAUCUUGCACCAGUUAGUCAUAUUGGCUCAUCUCAGAUCUUAGGAGGGGCUGAGAUCACUAAUAUGCUUCAUGUUCCUACUUUUCAAUACAACUUAUUAUCUGUUCCUAGACUAACAAAGGAGUUGAAAUGCAGUGUUAUGUUCUAUCCUAAUUUCUGCAUUUUCCAGGACCUCUCCAAUGGAAAAGUGAGGGGGAUUGGCAAGUUGGAGAAUGACAUGUAUGUGAUUACUGCUGACUGUCAUUUGCAUUCUCAAGGAGCAGAAUUGAGUUCACCUAAAGAUCAAGCUAUUGCAGUUUCUAAGUCUUGUCUUGUACCUUCUUUACAUUCAUCUAGAAUAAGUCUAUCAUUGUGGCAUAAAUGCCUAGGUCAUGUACCUUUUAAUACUCUUAGACAAUUUAGUUCUUUGCAACAGUUGCAUCCUACUACUGAUGCACCUUAUACUGUAUGCCCUUUAGCUAAACAAUCAAGACUAUCUUUUCCUUUAAGUGCUACUUCUACUACUGCUUGCUUUCAACUUUUACACGCUGAUGUAUGGGGUCCCUAUAGAGUUCCAACUCAUGAUAAUAACAGGUAUUUUUUAACCUUAGUAGAUGACUACUCAAGGUAUACCUGGAUAGUUUUGCUUCCCUCCAAAUCUGAGGUCAUAGUUGCACUCAAAAAUUUUCUUAUUAUGGUUGCAAAUGUUUUCUCUUCCUUAGUCAAAAUAUUAACGACAGAUAAUGGCUGUGAGUUUUUUAAUUCCCAAAUGACUGUUCUCCUGGAGUCUCUAGGUAUUUUACACCAAAGUUCAUGCAUAUAUACCCCUCAACAAAAUGGAGUUGUUGAAAGGAAACAUAGACAUAUACUUAAUGUUGCUAGAGCCUUGAGGUUUCAAUCUAGCAUGCCUCUUAAAUUUUGGGGUGAGUGUGCUCUUACUAGUGUCUAUUUGAUCAACAGAUUGCCUUCAUCUAUUUUACACAACAAGACAUCUUAUGAGUUGCUUUAUCUUAGAUCUCUUUCUCUUGAUCAUCUUCGAGUCUUUGCGUGUCUUGCUUUUGCUUCUGAAGUCAGAAAGGUUGACAAGUUUACUCCCAGAGCUUUCCCUACUGUGUUCUUGGGGUAUUCUACAUUACAAAAAGGGUACAAAUUGUUUUCUCUUCAUACUUAAGAGUUCUUAGUGUCCAGAGAUGUAGUUUUCAAAGAGGACAUAUUUCUCUUUACUCAAACCACUUCCUCAUGUCCUCCUUUGUUUCCUAUCUUUCAGUUUACAGAGUCCUUUACUAAGUCCACUCCAGUUCCUCCCAUUGCUACUCUUUAUUCUUCUCUUUGUCCAGCUUCUAUAGUAUCUGAAUGUCCCUUUUCUCCUGCCUAUGCAUCUGAUAUGUCUGCAACUGUUCCCUUAAGAAGAUCCUCUAGAAAUUCCAAACCUCCAAUUUGGCUUCAUGACUAUGUUACUACUCAGCCUAAGUCCACUUGUCUUUAUCCUUUAUCCAAUCAUGUCAGCUAUCGCCAUUUGUAUCCACUUUAUGGCUUAGCCUUAGCUGCAUAUUCCAGCAUCCUUAAGCCUAAGUCUUCCAUAAGGCUGCUCUUAAUCCUUUGUGGGUCGUAGCUAUGCAAGCUAAGAUCAAAGCCUUGGAAGAGAAUCAUACCUGGUCUAUCACUGAUCUUCCUUCUGAUAAACAUCCAAUUGGCUGUAAAUGGGUGUUUAAGGUGAAAUAUCUUGCAUCUGGUGCUGUUGAAAGAUACUAGGCUAGACUUGUUGCAAAGGGGUUCAAUCAGAAAGAAGGCUUGGAUUAUUCUGAAACUUUCUCCCAUGUUGCUAAGAUGGUUACUGUGCGGUCUGUUCUAGCUGUGGCCUCUGCUAAACACUGGCUUGUGUUCCAAAUGGAUGUCCAUAAUGCAUUUCUCCAAGGUGACCUGGUUGAGGAUAUGUAUACGGUUGUUCCUCCAGGCUUUUGCAGACAGGUGGAGUCUGGUAAAGUCUGCAAAUUACACAAGUCACUAUAUGGUUUAAAGCAGACACCUAGGCAAUGGAAUUUUAAACUAAUAGAAGCAUUACUUCAGCUGGGAUUUGUUCAAAGCCACUAUGACUAUUCUCUAUUUACCAGAAGUGAAAAUAAAAAGUUGAUAAUAAUUCUUGUUUAUGUUGAUGACCUUCUGAUAACUAGAAGCUGCAAGAAGCUGAUUGACAGGACCGGGAAUGAUCUGCAACUUAAAUUCAAAAUGAAAGACCUAGGAGAAUUGAAGUUUUUCCUUGGAAUUGAAUUCGCCAGAUCAAAAGAAGGUUAUAUUAUGAGCCAACGUAAGUAUGCCUUGGAACUUGUCUCAGAAAUGGGUCUAAGUGGUGCCAAGCCAGUCAACACUCCACUGGAUCCAAACCUCAGACUAACCUCUAUUGAAUAUGACUCACAUGUACAAGAGGCAAACACUACAUCAAGUGACAAACCUUUGGAAGAUAUUGGUAGAUAUCAAAGCCUUGUAGGGAAACUGUUGUAUCUAACUAUGACCAGGGUAGAUAUCUCCUUUGCAGUACAAGUUCUAAGUCAAUAUAUGCAUGCACCCAAAGAGUCUCAUAUGGAAGCUACACUUAGAGUAGUCAAAUACAUCAAGUCAGCUCCAGGUUUGGGUUUGUUUAUGCCCUCACAAGAUUCUAAUCAAUUGACUGUUUACUGUGACUCUGAUUGGGGUACUUGCUUACAAACGAGAAGAUCUGUGACUGGAUACUUAGUGAAGUUUGGAAAUGCUCUUGUAUCUUGGAAGGCAAAGAAGCAAGAAACAAUUGCUAAAAGUUCUGCAGAAGCUGAGUUUAGGAGUAUGGCAUCUGCAGUAGCUGAAAUUACUUGGCUCAUUGGCAUACACAGUGAACUAGGAGUAACCAUCAAACAACCAGUUGAUCUAUUCUGUGACAGCAAGGCUGCAAUUCAGAUUGCAGCCAACCCUAUUUUUCAUGAGCGAACUAAGCAUUUUGAUAUUGAUUGCUAUUUUGUUAGAGAGAAACUGCUUAAAAAAAUGAUUCAGACACAUCAUGUAUCCACAAAAGAUCAGCUGGCAGAUCUGCUCACAAAAGGUUUAUGGAAAGCUCCACACUCACAUCUUAUGUCCAAGCUGGGAAUGAAAGACAUUUUUCAGCCAUCAGCUUGAGGAUGGGUGUUAUGAAUAUGAGAAUCAAAAGUUACGCAUUGUGAUCAAUGUAACAGUAAAGUUAGUUACAAAAGUUUGUUAUAAUGUUAGUUAAAGGUAACUCUAGUUAAGUUAGACUAACUAGCUUGUACAGUUAAGAUACACUAUAAAUAGAGUAGUGUAGGCAUUAUUUGUAUUGUAUUAGAUUAUCAUUCAACACACAGAAAAGUUCUUCUUUGAUUGAAUCCUCUGCUCUGUAAUUCUUCAGAAUCCCCUAUCACCACCGAAGGUGAAAGCCUGGAUGGAUGAUAUUAAAAUAAAAAUAAAAACGAGACCUUCAGCCUUUAGAACAAAAGAGAUUAUAAUGCAACUUAAUGUCAUCUAGUCCAAAUUUUGCACUAAGAGAAAUUCACUGCCGGUAAUAUAAUAAGAUAUAUGCUUUUGCUGAGAAAUAUUGGAAACAGAUUUUGUCAGCAUAAAAUGCACUUCUUGUUGGUUGUUAGGUAAUUAGACUUGCUUUCAACUUUCAAGCAUAACGAAUAGUUUAGUUCAACAUGUAUAGUAGAAAAAACAAUAGGCAAAAAAUGGUCUAAAUUUCAAAUGAUUGGUCGACGAAUAUAGAAAAGACUUAGAAUAGCAAUUCAUCUUCUGUAGGAAACAAGUACUGGUCUAUCUAUCAAGUUGGUAAUUUCAAAAAUCAUCAAUACUUCCAACCAAAACAAAUUGAAUUAGUUAAUUGUACUCCCAAAGUAAAAGGAUAUUACACUUUUAGUCACUAAGAGGUAGUUUGACCGGAGAUAUUAGAGAAAAUAAUAUUUGUAUUAGCUUUGAUACUACAUAAUUUAUUGUUUGGUAUACCUAUAUAAUUAAUUAUAUAGAGUGAUACAUUAUAUUCAGUAUUAUUAUAUAUUCACCAUGACAUUAACAAUAUAUACUAGUACUAUUCCUAUAUAUUCUAGUACAGUAUACUCCAAUUGGAUUACAUUUUUUAGAAAUUUAUACGAUAUAUAAUAUAUAUGUGUUAGUAUUUGAUGCAACAAACCAGACAAACGAUAAAUGAAAUAUCAGCAUGAACAUUACUAACCAUAUUAAGUAGUAUUCUUAUGUGGCAUUUCAAUCCCUAAAAGAUAAUAAUUACAUAUAAGUAUAUAACCAUUUAUAAAAGGCAAGACUUCGUUACACUACGACAAAGUGAUAUUUAGUGGGAAUCGAUUUUUCUCUUAGUAUUGCCACAAAAAAAAAUUGCGACAAUAUUUUGCGAUAAUUGAGUUAAUUCAAAGAUGCUACAGUUUUUCACGAUAUUUAUAUAGAAUGCUGAUAGUAAGUAUCAAAAAUUAUUAUUAUUAUUAAAUAUAUUAUAACAAUUAGAAUCUUAUUUUAAUCAAUCAAAUUUUAGUCAUUAAUUCUUGCAUAUGCCAUGUGUCUCACAUCCAAGCAAGAACUUGGGAAAAAUGAAGAAAAGAGAAAUAGAGAGUAACCGGAUCCAUUAUAAGGCAUAUUGUCAUUUGUCCGUAUUUAUAAGUUAAAUUUUAAAAAAAUUCAAACAACUGCCAGUGGCCAUAAAUGAAAAUGAUGCAUCCAGAAAAAUACGUCUGGACCUUCUGUAGUAAGGAAUGGUCUCUUCCAAGUCCAAUAAAAAAGACUGCAAAGUCCAUCCACUACUACUGUAACAUGAGGCUAAACUGCACUCUCAAUACAUAGAAAAAUUAACCAACAAUGCAUUAUCUAUCACACAUUCAUAUCCUGGAUGAGAUAAGAUUCACCAUCUUCCGACACGUGGCACUUCUAUUCUUGUCUAUUAAAAUAAAAGACACUUAGCUCCAAUUUCUUAUCUUUCAUGUGGCCAUUAAAUUUUGUAAUAUCAACAGCCACAUAAUCCAAUGGUCACCCUUCAUCUAAGAUGAGGUUUCCUUUGUUUCUAUCCGUUAGAUUAAAAAAAACGUCUAACACCUUAUCAUUAUAUAAAGGGAGUAAGCCACAGUGUAAUAAGCAUCUUAAAAAAAAAACAAGUUUCUUUGAAGUAAAAAAAAAAAAAACGUUUUAUAGCUAAGUAGUAACGUAAUGGCUUCCUCAAUUGUCUCCUCAGCAGCCGUUGCUACCCGUAGCAAUGUUGCUCAAGCUAGCAUGGUCGCACCCUUCACCGGACUCAAAUCCGCCGCGUCUUUCCCCGUUACUAAGAAGAACAACAACGUUGACAUUACUUCCCUUGCUAGCAACGGUGGACGUGUUAGAUGCAUGCAGGUUCAAAUAAUAAUUAUCAGUAUAUAUAUAUAAAAUUUAAAUUAACUAGUUGUCGUUUAUUUAUAAAAUAAAUGUGUUAAUGUAGGUGUGGCCACCAAUUAACAUGAAGAAAUACGAGACAUUGUCAUACCUUCCUGACUUGUCCGAUGAGCAAUUGCUCAAGGAAGUUGAGUACCUUUUGAAAAAUGGAUGGGUUCCUUGCUUGGAAUUCGAGACUGAGGUCAAUAUCUCCUACAUACUUUUACAUGUGUAAUUUAAUUUGUUGAAGGAGAAAAUAAAUGUAUGUUAUAUUGUUGUGUACAGCACGGAUUUGUGUACCGUGAGCACAACAGCUCACCAGGAUACUACGAUGGUAGAUACUGGACCAUGUGGAAGUUGCCUAUGUUUGGGUGCACUGACGCAACCCAGGUGUUGGCUGAGGUUCAAGAGGCCAAGAAUGCGUACCCACAGGCCUGGAUCCGUAUUAUCGGAUUCGACAACGUUCGUCAAGUGCAGUGCAUCAGUUUCAUUGCCUACAAGCCAGAAGGAUACUAAAUUUCAUCAAACCUAUAAUUAAUUACUCCUAUCGACAUGUUUUUUGCGUUUUGUACCGGUGUAUUUUCCUCGAUUCCGACCAAGUUAUGAGAAAUUAAUAAUGAUGAAUCUUUAAUUAUAUGUUUUUUUGUGGUGUGUAUGAGUUUUAUUAUCCAAACUAAAAAUCUCUCUUUAAAUAUGAAAACGACACAUUAACUACUCCUUUUAUCCUAACAACUUUAGCACAACGAUUAAAUAGCCACCGCAUGUGACAUUAAUUAUCUUAAAUGAAAAGAAUUGUAUCACAUUGAGACAUCGAUUCAAUAAUUAGUGAGAAUGAAAAAGACUUCAUUUUCUGCCUGGAAAAAUGCCGUAACUUAAGUAAGAUUUUUUUUUUAUUUCACAAAUUAGUGAAUUCAAAUCUUACACUUUUGAUUCAUCAAUGUAAAAAGAAUAAAUUAAAAAUCCUAUUAUUUGUAUUAUUUAUGUGAGGCACAAAAUAAAUAUCUUCGUAAGAGUAACCAACCUUCUAGGCUUAUCAUGAUCAGUUGGGCCCUGGAUGUUUACACUUGUGGCCACUGGCCAUGCUCAACAAGGACCGGUCAAUUAUUGUAUUUUGUUGUUAUCCUUUUGUCUUUUUUAUUGGUUUUUUUUUUUAAAGAGUUUGAAGUUUUAUGUAUCGAAUAGUUGAUAUGUUAAUAGUUAUUAAAUACAAAUUUAUAUAUAUAUUCUAAAUUAACGUAUAAUAUACAUAAAUGGUGUAUAAUUUUUUUAUAUUUGACUAACGGCUAAAAUUCAUUUAAAUUGAGCAAGUAAAUGUAUUAUGACCCCUAAAUUUUUUUAGCUCAAACACCAAUUUAGUGAUUUUUGCUUUAAAAAAACUGAAAAUUGUAUUGUUGGUGAUCAGUAGAAAGUGUUGAAGAAGAGAAAUCAUUGUAAGUUUGAAGAAGAGAAAAUACAUAAAACUCCCCCCUAAACUUGGCAGUACAACUUACUUUAGCACUUAAACUACACAGGCUUUUAAUAUCCCCAUUAACAUCUUUGAAGUGAAUUAAAUACAACUCUAAAUACUGACUCCUCCACAGCGAUAGCACUACUGGAGCAUGACCAUUCGCAAUACACUAACAUUAUAUCUGAAUGCAGGUCACUAAUGCAGCAGGGGAAUACCAAAACCACUCCACACAUUCAGGGAGUAGAACAAGGUGGCGGACAUACUGGCUAAAAUGGGUAGGACAAUACAAUCCAACAGCGGGAGGAUGCAGAUUUUGGAAGCCCCACCACAUUAUGCCUUCAAAGCAUGGGAAGCUGACAAGAAUGGGCUUUAUUUUGAUAGAAUGGUAGUAGUAACUAGUCCCAACGAGACAACGGAGAAUCCCCCUAUUUCAAACUAUGUAAUGAACAAUGAAGUCCGUGUGCUUCACCUUUAAGCUUUUUAUAUAAUUACUCUAUUUCUAUCAAAAACAAAUAAAUACAACCCUGAGAAUAGAAUACCACUCUCACCUGUCACAUCAUAACCAUGUAAGCACCACGUCAUUAAUUUUCAAUCUUUUUUUUGCUUAUUCACCUUUUCUCUUAACCAUUUUCUUAAAAUUUAUUACACUAAUCAAUUAAUUUAAAAUACAUUUUAAAAUCAAAAUUGCCCCAUCUUCUUCCACCCCUUCUCUUCUACCCCCCCCCCCCUACUCUUUC
rnacentral:lncRNA from 1 species